AAAAAAAAAGUCUCCUUUUACAUCGUCAAUUCCUCUCCCCAGCCUCCCCUUCGAAGAAUUUGGGGAGCAACUUCCCCCCCAUUCGCCAUCCUUCCGGCCGGCCCCUUCGCCAAAGAUCUGAUUAGAUUUCUCAUCACAACCCAGUGCGCAAUUGAAUUUUUGAUUUCAGCCACCCGGCCAGCCACCUUCCCCUCUCCCCUCCAAACUCCGGUUAUAUCCUGUCUCCUUCCCUCCACCGCCUCUGCAAUUUCAUAAUCUCACGUUAAAUGGAGUGCGGGGGGCGGGGGCGGGGGCGGGGGCGGAGGUAGUGGAGGAAAAUUUCAAGGCUCCGUCAGCUGUCAAGAAGAAACCCAUUCCUCCCCCCGCUACUUUUUUUUUUUUUUUUUAUAAGGCUCGGGGUGCCUUUUCCUUCCUCUGUCCCCACCCCCACCCCCAGCACCCGGUCCAGAUCCUCCAGGUGUUGCAGAACUCCGCGGUCGGGGCCGGGAUCACCGGGGAGACGCGGGAUGCGGUCCCUCGCCGGUGGCCCCUGCCAGCCCCCGGGUCCCCUUCUCCUCCAUCAGCCGGCAGUGGCUCCGGGGGCGCGGCGGUGAUACCACAUGAGGCAACGUGACAAGUUUGAGGAGUGACUUAAAGCAAUAAGAAGAAAGCUGAAAGAAACAACGGUAUGACAAUUUGGCAACCACUUCUCAAUGGCCUUCAACUAUCUUUUACGCAUCCUAUCUAAAUGGUGACCCAAUCACUUUAAAAACACAAUCUCCUUUAUUAAAUGUUUCUAAGGGAGAAGGUAUUUGUGCGUAGAUACUAUGUGGUGGUAUUUUUGUACUGUCUAAAUUAGGAAUCUUUGCACUGGGAAUAAAAUUGCCCAUAAAGGUAUCUUUAAAACUCCACCAGGAAUUAGGAGAUGGUGUGAAUCCAGUUGUGUAAUUUGGGAAGACAGCUGCAUUUUAUCCAGCUAAAUCAGCACUUGAUACUAAACAAUUCCUAAAGAAUGUCACUUUAUUUUAGCAUCAGCCAUGCAGUGCAGAUUCAAGAAAUGAUAGCCUUGUUUUCCCCACCGCGUUACUAUUGUGCUUUCAGAAGAUGAAGGCAUAGAUUUCAAAAUUGAGUUCUCCUCACAUUGAAGAUUCAUUUAGCACAUCUGUGGUUCCAGGCCUCCAGCUGAUUUAGUCGCUCAUGAUUCAAAUAAUGUUAAACAAUUUGCAUUUUUAAAUGUCCAGGUCUCUAAUAUACACAUUCUUAAGGACAAAAAUGACUUUCUAAGGGAUGCUGUAGAUUUGUGAAAAAAUCAUUUAUGGUAUUGACACUGAAAAUGGAAACACCUUUAUCACCUGAAUAAAAUAAUGCCUCAGAAAAUGAAAAUAAGUAUGUAUAAACAAAUACUUUCAAAAUGGAAGGGGCUUAGGAAUCCUUUGAUUCACUACACAAAUCUUCUUAAUCCAUCAAAAACUUUGUUAAUUUUAUAGGGGCAAUAAGAGAUAAAAUAAAUAUGCUCAUGGCUAAGA